AAAAAAUACUGCUGCAUCCCCUGCAUCGCAUCGGCCACCAGUCCCCGUUUCCUGUCCCCCCCGCCCUUCCCUUCCCAGAUCUCCCCGCCCCGCAUCUCGCCCAUCCGCCACCGGCGAGGGGGCUCCCGCCGGCCCGCCGCCGCCGCGAUGUACCUGGCGUACGGGUGGCCGCAGUCGAUCCCGCUGGACCCGAACGACUCGGACCGCGUGGUCCUCCUCCGCGUCCUCGGCCGCCUCCUCCUCGUGGUCUGCCCCGCCUCGCUCCACCUCUGGUCGGCCGCCCACCACCGGGUCCGCCUCGCUCGCCUCGAUCGCUCCCCGGACUCCCUCGCCGCCCACGGCCACAACGCGCACGCCGUAUGGAGCCCCGACGCCAAGACCGUCGCAGUCCUGACCUCCUCCUUCUACCUUCACAUAUACAAGGUGCAGCACUCGGGGAAGCCGCUGAUCGUCGCAGGCAAGCAGCUCCCGGGGCUUUGCCUUGCCAGUAUAUCCCUAAUCAUCGCGGAGAAGGUUCCUCUCGCCAAUGGCGUUGCUAUAACGAGUAAUUUCGUAUGUGACAGCAAAAGCAUGCUCCUCGGACUGUCCAGUGGGCAUGUGCAGGUCGUGUCCUGGAAUGCUGAGUUCCCGGACAGCUUCAAGCUUGGUUGCUCCGCAUGCUCGUCUGAGAAAACUACUGCUGUCGUAGAUGCAUUGGUGUUUGAUCCUCCCAGUUUGCAAGAAAAUUCUAACGCAAGGCCUGCUCCUUGCUGCACAGGGAAUUCUUCUAUUGUUCAUGUUGAGCUCUCGGUGAAGCUAAGGUUGCUGGUUGCUUUAUACUCAGGCUGUCACAUUGCCCUCUGUACCGUUGGUAAGAAGGGAUUAAAGCAGCCUGGUAGCGUCAGAGUGGAGAGAUGGUUGAAUACUGAUGAUGCGAUCUGUACUUCUGUGGCUUCUGAGCAACAGAUUCUUGCUGUCGGAUGCAGUAGAGGUGUUGUUGAAUUGUAUGAUCUGGCUGAAAAUGCGCGGCACAUACGAACGAUUUCCUUGUAUGAUUGGGGGUAUUCAGUGGAAGAUACCGGUCCUGUUGCUUGUAUAUCUUGGACACAUGACAAUUGUGCUUUUGCAGUUGGAUGGAAAUUUAGGGGACUUACUGUAUGGUCUGUGUCUGGAUGUCGGUUGAUGUGUACAAUUCGUCAAACUGGAUCAAAUUCUGCCUCAUCUCCAAUGGUGAAACCUAACGCUCUAAAAUUUGAGCCUCUAAUGGGAGGGACAUCACACAUUCAAUGGGAUGAUCAUGGAUAUAAGUUAUUUGCUGUUGAAGAAAGCUUGUCAGAAAGGGUUCUUGCUUUCUCAUUUGCCAAAUGUUGCCUAAACAGAGGACUUUCAGGCACAACAUAUUCCCACCAGGUUCUUUAUGGUGAAGAUCGAAUCCUAUUGGUGCAACAGGAUGAUGCUGAUGAACUGAAGAUUUUGCAUCUUAAUGUUCCAGUUUCCUAUAUUUCCCAGAACUGGCCAGUUUUACAUGUAGUUGCAAGCAAUGAUGGGAUGUACUUAGCAGUUGCUGGCUCUCAUGGGCUAGUGCUAUAUGACUUGCGAAAUAAAAGGUGGCGUGUUUUUGGUGAUGUUACACAAGAGCAAAAGAUUCAAUGCAAAGGCUUAUUGUGGCUGGGAAAAAUUGUUAUUGUAUGCAACUAUGUCGAAUCGUCAAACACGUACGAGCUUCUCUUUUUCCCAAGAUAUCACCUUGAUUUUAGCUCCUUACUCUACCGGAAACCACUGCUUGGAAGACCACUUGUCAUGGAUGUUUUCCAGGAUUACAUAUCAGUUACCUACAGUCCAUUUGAUGUGCAUAUCUUCCAUGUGAUGAUCACAGGAGAAUUGUCACCUGCUAGUAGUCCAGUUUUACAGCUUUCAACAGUGCGAGAACUUUCAAUCAUGAGUCCUAAGAGUCCACCUGUUUCAAUGCGCUUCAUUCCUGAACAAAAUGACGAAGGAGUGCUGAAACGAGAUACUAAUGGAUCUUCGGAUCUUUUGUCCCAACAACCAUCAAGAUGUUUGAUCUUGCGGAUGAAUGGUGAACUUUCUGUGCUGGACAUGGAUGAUGGACAUGAACACACACUCACAAAUUCAGUUGAACUCUUUUGGGUCACUUGUUCCCAAUUUGAAGAGAAGGGUAGUCUUAUCAAAGAGGUUUCAUGGCUUGACUACGGUCAUCAGGGUAUGCAGGUAUGGUACCCAUCUCAUGGAGCAGAUCCUUUUAAGCAAGAAGAUUUCUUGCAGUUGGAUCCGGAGCUUGAAUUUGAUCGUGAGGUGUAUCCUCUUGGUCUUCUUCCAAAUGUUGGUGUGGUCGUUGGUGUUUCUCAGAGAUUUUCCUUCUCAACUGCGGAGUUUCCAUGCUUUGAGCCUUCACCUCAAGCCCAAACAAUAUUGCAUUGUUUACUACGACAUCUCCUUCAGAGGGACAAAAAUGAAGAAGCUUUGCGCUUGGCAAAUUUGUCAGCAGAGAAACCCCACUUUUCUCACUGUUUAGAGUGGCUUCUAUUUACGGUAUUUGAUGCAGAUAUAUCAAGGCCAAGUGCUUCAAAAAGCCAAGUUUUACAAAAAAAUAAUUCUCCAAAGAAGUCUCUUCUCGAGAAGACAUGUGAUCUACUACGGAAUUUUCCUGAAUAUAUGGAUGUUGUAGUCAGUGUUGCUAGGAAAACUGACGGUCGACACUGGGCUGAUCUUUUCUCUGCGGCUGGACGAUCCACAGAGAUGUUUGAGGAAUGCUUCCAACGGAGAUGGUAUAGGACUGCUGCUUGCUACAUACUGGUCAUUGCUAAGUUGGAGGGCCCUGCAGUCAGUCAGUACUGUGCACUCCGUUUGCUACAAGCUACACUUGAUGAAUCUCUGUAUGAGCUUGCUGGGGAGUUGGUUCGCUUCUUGCUAAGAUCUGGAAGGGAUUUUGAGAAUGCCACUACAGACUCUGAGAAGCUCUCUCCAAGAUUUCUGGGCUAUGUUCUAUUCCGUUCGCCAUAUAAACGACAAACUUCUGAUUUGAAAAGUAACUCGAUGAAAGAACUUAGUCCACAUAUUGCCUCUGUUAUGAACAUUCUAGAGAGCCAUGCUAGCUAUUUGAUGUCUGGCAAAGAACUUUCUAAGCUUGUCGCUUUUGUCAAAGGGACUCAAUUUGAUCUUGUGGAAUAUCUUCAACGAGAAAGGCUAGGGUCUGCUCGGCUGGAGAAUUUUGCAUCUGCACUCGAACUGAUCGGACAAAAGCUCCAAAUGGACACACUACAAAGCCGGCUUGAUGCUGAGUUUCUUCUAGCUCAUAUGUGUUCAGUCAAGUUUAAGGAAUGGAUCGUGGUGCUAGCUACUUUAUUGCGACGUGCAGAGGUUUUGGUGGAUCUCUUUCGGCAUGAUUUACGAUUGUGGAAAGCAUAUAGCAUUACUCUACAGUCUCAUGAUGUAUUCAGAGAGUACCUUGAUCUUCUUAAUGUCUUGGAGGAGCAGCUUUCAUCUGUUUCCGAUCUUACAUUGCAAAAUGGACCUUUGUCAUGAAUGCGGGACUACACCGAUUGAACAACCUAUUGGAUGUGGCAACUCAGCCUUGUGUUAAUUUAACACAUACAGUUAGACGGAGAAACACGGGGAAUCUAAUGUAAAUAGAAUUAUUCAGGGGUUUUUCCCUUAGAGCAACACCCUAGAGGCUAUAGCAGCUUUUUGUGCAGUGGAUCAGCUAAGCACCAUAUUGUUGUAUCAUUAGUUUGUUGCAGCGGAGUUGCGUGUGCAUUAUUUGCCUUACUGAGGAAUUCUUACAAUGGAUGGGAUUGUCCUCCCUAGUCCUCUGGGAGGUUAGUACAUCACUACAUUGUACCCUGGAGGGGAAAGCCCUAUCAUUUACAGUUACAGGAAGUGUAUUUUACUUUGAGAGUAGGUACAUGGACAACUAUGUUUUUUUUUGACAGUAUCUUGUACGUUUUGCAGUGUGUAGCACAUUUUUAGCGUCUCUUUUACGAGCUCGUGCACAUAGAUAAAUUUACAAAAUGCACCAGAGUGUAUCAAACUUGAAAUGCUAGGUCAUGUCACAAAGUAUACAUGGUUACCUAUCACUGUCAUAUUCAUUGUUGACUGAUGUGUCAUGGCCAUCA